rnacentral:rRNA from 1 species
GCAGUAUCCUAACUGUGCUAAGGUAGCAUAAUCAUUAGUCUUUUAAUUGGAGACUGGUAUGAAUGGCUAAACGAGAAAUUAACUUUUUUUGUAGUAAAAAUUGAAUUUAAUUUUUUAGUGAAAAAGCUAAAAUUUUUCAGAAAGACGAGAAGACCCUAUAGAGUUUUAUAAUUUUUUGUAGUAAAUUCUAUUAGAUUUAUUUAAAUUAACUGCAAAAAAAUUAUUUUGUUGGGGCGACAUUUAGAUAAAAAAAACUCUUUAUUUUUUAUAUUUUUAUGGAAAAAAUAUUGAUCCUUUAAAAAAGAUCAAAAGAAAAAAUUACCUUAGGGAUAACAGCGUAAUCUUUUUUGAGAGUUCUAAUCGACAAAAAGGUUUGCGACCUCGAUGUUGGACUAAAAUUUAGGCAGGGUGCAGAAGUUCUGCUUUAGGGUCUGUUCGACCUAUA